CCUACGGGGGGCAGCAGUGGGGAAUAUUGGACAAUGGGGGGAACCCUGAUCCAGCCAUGCCGCGUGUGUGAAGAAGGCCCUCGGGUUGUAAAGCACUUUCAGUGAGGAAGAACGCCUUGUGGUUAAUACCCAUCAGGAAAGACAUCACUCACAGAAGAAGCACCGGCUAACUCCGUGCCAGCAGCCGCGGUAAUACGGAGGGUGCGAGCGUUAAUCGGAAUUACUGGGCGUAAAGCGCGCGUAGGUGGCUUGAUAAGCCGGUUGUGAAAGCCCCGGGCUCAACCUGGGAACGGCAUCCGGAACUGUCAAGCUAGAGUGCAGGAGAGGAAGGUAGAAUUCCCGGUGUAGCGGUGAAAUGCGUAGAGAUCGGGAGGAAUACCAGUGGCGAAGGCGGCCUUCUGGACUGACACUGACACUGAGGUGCGAAAGCGUGGGUAGCAAACAGGAUUAGAUACCCGGGUAGUC
rnacentral:rRNA from 1 species